UACGGAGGGUGCGAGCGUUGUCCGGAAUCACUGGACGUAAAGGGCGCGUAGGCGGCUUGGGAAGUCCGUGGUGAAAGCUCGUGGCUCAACUGCGAGUCGGCCAUGGAUACUCCUAAGCUCGAGUCGACUAGAGGCAGAUGGAAUUCCGGGUGUAGCGGAUGGAAUGCGCAGAGUAUCGGGAAGAACACCCGUGGCGAAGGCGGCGUCUCGGUGG
rnacentral:rRNA from 1 species